UACAGAGGGUGCAAGCGUUGUUCGGAAUUAUUGGGCGUAAAGGGAGUGUAGGCGGUCUUUUAAGUCUUCUGUGAAAUCUACGGGCUUAGCCUGUAACGUGCAGAGGAAACUGGAAGGCUUGAGUGUCGGAGAGGAUAGGGGAAUACCCAGUGUAGAGGUGAAAUUCGUAGAGAUUGGGUGGAACACCGAAGGCGAAGGCAGUGUCCUGGCGAGUGACUGACGCUGAGGUGCGAAAGCCAGGGGAGCGAACGGG
rnacentral:rRNA from 1 species